rnacentral:rRNA from 1 species
CCUACACGACCGUACCGCAAACCGACACUGGUGCGCGAGACGAGUAUUCUCAGGCGCUUGAGAGAACUCGGGAGAAGGAACUCGGCAAAUUGACACCGUAACUUCGGAAGAAGGUGUGCCUUUAGUAGGUGAAGGGAUUUACUCCUGGAGCCCAAUGAGGUUGCAAAAAAUCGGUGGCUGCGACUGUUUAAUAAAAACACAGCACUCUGCAAACACGAAAGUGGACGUAUAGGGUGUGACGCCUGCCCGGUGCUGGAAGAUUAAGUGAUGGGGUGCAAGCUCUUGAUCGAAGUCCCAGUAAACGGCGGCCGUAACAAUAACGGUCCUAAGGUAGCGAAAUUCCUUGUCGGGUAAGUUCCGACCUGCACGAAUGGCGUAACGAUGGCCACACUGUCUCCUCCCGAGACUCAGCGAAGUUGAAAUGUUUGUGAUGAUGCAAUCUCCCCGCGGAAAGACGGAAAGACCCCAUGAACCUUUACUGUAGCUUUGUAUUGGACUUUGAACGGAUCUGUGUAGGAUAGGUGGGAGGCUUUGAAGCCGGGUCGCUAGAUCUGGUGGAGCCAACGUUGAAAUACCACCCUGGUGCGUUUGAGGUUCUAACCUAGGUCCGUAAUCCGGAUCGGGGACAGUGCAUGGUAGGCAGUUUGACUGGGGCGGUCUCCUCCCAAAGCGUAACGGAGGAGUUCGAAGGUACGCUAGUUACGGUCGGACAUCGUGACGAUAGUGCAAUGGCAUAAGCGUGCUUAACUGCGAGACUGACAAGUCGAGCAGAUGCGAAAGCAGGACAUAGUGAUCCGGUGGUUCUGUAUGGAAGGGCCAUCGCUCAACGGAUAAAAGGUACUCUGGGGAUAACAGGCUGAUACCGCCCAAGAGUUCAUAUCGACGGCGGUGUUUGGCACCUCGAUGUCGGCUCAUCUCAUCCUGGGGCUGUAGCCGGUCCCAAGGGUAUGGCUGUUCGCCAUUUAAAGAGGUACGUGAGCUGGGUUUAAAACGUCGUGAGACAGUUUGGUCCCUAUCUUCCGUGGGCGCUGCAGAUUUGAGGAAGCCUGCUCCUAGUACGAGAGGACCGGAGUGGACGCACCUCUGGUGUACCUGUUGUCACGCCAGUGGCAUUGCAGGGUAGCUAAGUGCGGAAGAGAUAACCGCUGAAAGCAUCUAAGCGGGAAACUCGUUUCAAGAUGAGAUCUGCCGGGGCCUUGAGCCCCCUGAAGAGUCGUUCUAGACCAGGACGUUGAUAGGUCAGGUGUGGAAGCGCAGUAAUGCGUUAAGCUAACUGAUACUAAUUGCUCGUGCGGCUUGACCAU